rnacentral:rRNA from 1 species
AUGUCGAUCAAGCACUGCGACAAGCACGACUGCGAGCGGCGGCGGCUGUACCGCCAGUUCUGCGCCGCCCUGGUGGCCGUCAUCCUCCUCAUCCUGCUCAUCAUCCUCAUCGUCUGGCUCGUGCUCCGCCCCACCAGGCCGCGCUUCUACCUCAACGGCCUCACCGUGGCGUGCCUCAACGCCACCUCCUCCCCGGCGUCCUACCUCACCGUGACGCUGCAGGCGACGAUCGCCGCCCGCAACCCCAACUCCCGCGUCGGCAUCUACUUCGACCGGACGGACGCGUACGCCGAGUACAAGGGGCAGCAGGUGACCGUCCCGACGGCGCUCCCCGUGGUGUACCAGGGCCACCUGGACGUCUCGGUGUGGUCGCCGUUCCUGGUGGGGUCGAACGUGCCGCUGGCCCCGUACCUGGCUGUGGCGCUGGCGCAGGACGAGACGGCUGGGUACGUGCUGCUCACGGUGCGGGUGGACGGCUGGAUCAGGUGGAAGGCCGGGGCGUUCAUUACGGGGCACUACCACCUCCGGGUCAGGUGUCCCGCCCUGCUCACCGUCAACGGAGGGCAGGGCAGCUACGGCUCCAUCGCCGGCGGCGGCGGGAACGGGUACUUCAACUUCCAGCGCGCCGCGCCAUGCGUUGUCGACGUCUGA